CAAUGAUAUAUAGUAGCAAUUGUGCCAAGAACAGUUUACAUCGUGAAAUGAGGUUGGUACUUACUACUCAGCACUGUAGAGAUGGAAUAUUAAACUACGGAUUAUUCAAUGACCGUAAUUGGUUGUGUUUAUAGCGAGCAAACUCAAGAAAAGCAUAGAAGUUGAAGAGAUGGUUUUCUAUGCAUAGCAACAAGAAAUCGAUCAUGUAUUAUUUAUUUCUCAAACAAUAGUUAACUAUAGUAGUAUAAAACCCAGUGAUAUUUAUGUACCACUAUUCAUAGGCCUUCAAUUAGGGGUUUCGAGGGUGCCUUGUUACCCCAAUUUUCAAAACAAAAGUGAGAUAGUGUGUUUUGUCACCCCAGUUUUACAAGUCACUAACAGUUUUUAACCUGCUGUUAAGUAUCUAUAGAAACAAUCAGACCCAAACCCUACUCUAUUCAUACUAUUCAAUGAAGUUUAUUUAUGUUUUAAGCUGUGAUUGUAAAUGCAUUUUAAUCACGUCAUCCCAGAUUUUGUUAAAAUGUGAAUGACGAUCCCAAUCCUAAAUCACCGUUUUGCUUUGUGCAAUGGUAGAGUUCUUGGGUAUUACCAUGCAAUAAGGGGGUUGUACAUGUUAAUUUAUUCAAUACGUUGUAAUCAUACAAUAACAGCUUGUUAUACUUUUUGGUAUAUACAAAUGAGUUUCAUAGUGAACUAUUUAAUGCAAAUAAAAAUAAUAAU